AACGGCUUUCCAGCAAUCAGAUGACUGAAAGCAGUGUUUAAAAAGCAAGGAUUAAAACUGGAGAAUGCUGUCUGUUCUGCUGUCAAAGUAGGUCCAUAACCCUGUUUUUGCUUGUGUUGCUCAGGGAUUGUGCAAUGCAUUUCAAAUAAACAAACAAACAAAACAGGAAAGGAAACGAGUUCACUUUGGCAGGAUAAUAAAUACCACGAACAGGGAAGUUGCUUGGCACCUCUACCCUAGAAGCAUUCUACAAGUUACACGGGCACUGCAAGGGAAAGCUGCAAAAGAUUGUUUAACCUAGAGGAUUACAGAGGAUUGCCUGACUGUUCUCUGUUUGGCAAUCGGAAUGCUGAAUACCCUCCUGUGAUCAGCAAACCUUUCAUCCACCAAGCAUUUGCCAUUGCUGCUGACAAACAAAGACUAAACUGCAGAGAAGGGAGCCUUUGACAAGGUCCAGGAAACAAUAGCAUAUUCGGUCUUGUGUAGUUUGUGCUGGAACAUUUCUUUUUUUUUUCAAACCAUUUCCGUCGUGGCUUUCCGGACAGUGAGGACAUUUAAUGUACUUGAAGUCAAAGUCGUUGCCAAACCUGCUUAUUAGCUGAGUCUGCACACUGCGCAAAGCUGCUGCUGAUGCUGGUGUAGUCAGCUUCAGGUGCAUGAGGAAACAUGUUGCUCUAGGACAGCUGGAACAACUCUGUCUAAAUAAACUGAUAUUCUUCCCACACACAACUCUUGUAGAAAGGGACUUGGAAGAGUGUGACAGUGGUAAAAGUUAUUCCUUCCUCCUUUCCCCCACCAUCUCUGAUGGACAAUGUGGUUUGUCCUAAGACUGGAACAGCAAAAGGGAAUUGCAGGAGGGACUGCCUGUGCACUCUCAUAAUUAAUGCAUUCCAGAGAUGGGGGAGCAGAGAUGUUUGGUUUUGGUGCACAUCUGCCUGCAAAAGUGCAUAAAAUGCUGCUGGAGACUGGAACAGCUGGACUCAUGAAGUUGCAGGCAGCUUCUGAGUGGAACACACGCAACCCCCACACUCCCUGCAGGAAUGCCUGCAGGCUACAUUAACUGUAGUAAUGUUAGUAACUGUAGUAAUGUAGAAAGUCUGGGGAACACUCACUUCUGGACAGAACAGAGAUAAAACCUCAUCAAGUGUCUCUAUAGGAGCUUUGUUCCUUUGUUAUUGUGCAUUCCACAAGGCCAAAGACUGUAAACCUGUGUUUCCAGCUGAACCUGCUGGUACAAGAACCCUUCAGACACAGGCUGUCAAGGAAAUCUGAGACUUGCUGGACCAAGCCACACCUGCUCUGAGGUAGAAUAAUUAUGGAGUUGCCUUCAUAAGUUUUGGAUUUCUAACUACCAUUGUUGGCAACAAUAAACUAUACUUCUCUGACAUCUUUCAGGAGAACAAUUCCACUGUUCAGGCUGAACAGUAGAACUCACCAUGUCGCAGACAUCUUUUAUGAAAAAUCCUUUCCUUAGGAUUCUUCCUCUUGAGAGGCCGAGA